UUCACAUUUACUAAAUAUUCCAGGUGUGAUUUGCCCAACCUGUGUCAAAAAUUAAAAAUAUAUAGCACAAAUAGAGAAUAUAUUUACAUAUUUCAGGAUGCUUUACAAAAUGAAAAGUGUUCAUUCUUGGAACAAAGCUUGUGCUACAGAUGUCAGCAUGUAUCCUUUAAUAAUACUGGAGUUUUGGCAAUCAGUCUACACAAAUGGCAGUCCUUACAUUCAUGAAGUGAACUUUACAAUAAACCAGGUAUAUAGUCAACAAAAAGAGGUUAAAUACUUUCUGUUUGCACAGCCAGGUAAUUUAUGUGUCAACAGAAAAACUAUAGUAGACAAACAGGUUAAUAAAUAGCAGGCAACAGACAGGAUUCAAGUUAUUGUUCAGAUGUUUUUUUUUUGUGAGUGCUAUAAAUUAAGUGAGAAAUCAAACAGCUGUCACAGUUAAGACUUCAAAUUUAAGUUACAUGCGUAAUGGCAAAUUUGUGAGUUCACAGUUUAUCAAACGUGUUCUAAAAAUACAACUCUUUACAUAAAAGAACAAUUUCACAACAAAAAGGUGAUACAUCUGUAAAAACAGAAGCCAAAAUGCCGCUUCUAACUUGAGAGAAAUCUCAGGAAAUCAGAGUUCCACCAUGAGUCCAACAUACUUGUUGUCUAAGGGAAAUUUGAGCUAGGAGACUGCAGGAUAGAAGAUUCGCCCCUGUUGUCCAGCUCAUUCUGUAGCCUGGUGAGAUUAGAAAGCUCCUCCAGCUCCUGAAACUGUCUGUCCGUCUUGUGGCUGACCAGUGAGCGGUAGAAAUGCACAGCAAAGACUAUGAAGACUAAACCAAAGGGAACCAUGAUGGAGGUGGACGUGAUCGCAGCAGCCACACCGGACGAAACUGUGCUGUUGCUGGACUUGUUAGGGCCCGAGCCAGCUGCAGAGCAGCCGGGCGUAGAGUCCUAUUAUUCCUGUAUGGGUUCUUCUUUCUUCUUUCUUUCUUUCUUCUUAUUUUUCCUCCCCUUUGAAGGGGAAAAUGGCCCACUUCCCACUGGCGAAAACUCAUGAAAUUUGGCAGGACGACCGGGCCUGGUGAAAAAUUCGAUAUUCUGAAGUCGCCGAAAAAAUAAUAUGCAAAAUGGCUCCAUAGCGCCCCCUAAGGUGAAAAUUCACACUAUCGAGUGUCACGCCUGUACGCUUUGUCAUAUUGACACAAAAAUUGACACACACAUGUAUCUCAAUAAGAUCUACAAAAAAGUCAGGGCGGGCGUAUCUGUCAAAUGUACGGUUAAAGGGCUAUUUCGCAUUUUUUGCCGAUCCGCACACAUUGGAAUUUCGCUAACUCCUCCUAAGGCUUUCGUUCCACCGGCACCACAUUUGCUCAGGCCAAUCUACACCCCAUGGCCAUUAAAAGUUAUUCAAAUCAUGACGCUGCACCCCACGGUUUAGGUUCUAGGGGGCGCCAAAAAUAACCCUAAAAUCCACAUAUUUAAAAGUCUUAUAACUUUUUAUUUUUGCCCUCACUGGCCUCCAAGUUUUCUAGGAUGAUGCAAUGUCCAGCCAUCAACACAUUUGUGAAGGAAUUUUUACUCCCCAAAAGAGCGCCCCCCCAUGGCAGGAGAAAAAGUCAAGUUUUUCCUGCCCAUCGCUCAAUGGCUCAAACGCAUCGCUCUCUCGGCAAAACCGAAAGGAGGAGCAACUUGCCAUUUGGAUAUAUACUAGCUGUGUUUGUGCCCUCACUCAUGGUCCAGACUUUUUUCAAAAAGGACAUGGAGUUUGUCUGCAGCGAGCGUUUUGGUAGAAACUGCGCCUCCCAUUCAUUAUAAUGGUAAAUGACCACAGACAAGUGCGCGCACCAUCUUUGGACCUUGAGUGUGACGCAAUCGGGAGGGGUAGGCAGUCGCGCUGGGGGCGGCGCGACACGGCUCGGGCCCGCCAGUGCCCCACCGGGGCCCUAGUUUUCUCUUUUUUCUGCCUGUUUUAAGGGUUUUCGACCUAGGCUCCCUCUCACCCUACCUUAAAGAGGUCGUCACUAAUCUGGGAGUUAAAUUUGACCCUGAUUUUAAAUUUGACAAGCAGAUCAGCGGGGUGGUACAAAAAAGUUUUUAUCAGCUACGCCAAAUAGCGAAGGUGAAGCCCAUUUUAUCAAGACCUGACCUGGAAAAAUUAAUCCAUGCUUUUAUCACUACCCGUCUUGAUUACUGCAACUCCUUGUACGUAGGGAUUAGCCAGGCUUCCCUUGCCCGCCUGCAGCUUAUGCAGAACUCUGCUGCACGUCUCCUGACACAGACCCGCAGGCGUGAGCACAUCACCCCCAUCCUGGCGUCCUUACACUGGCUCCCUGUUCAGUACAGAAUUCAUUUUAAGCUUUUAGCAUUUGUUUUUAAGGGCCUGAACAACCUUGCUCCACCCUAUAUUUCGGAGAUGCUACAGCCUUAUUGCCCACCCCGACCCCUAAGAUCAGCUGAUCAGCUUUUACUGACCGUCCCCAGUACAAGGCUGAAGCUCAGAGGGGACAGAGCAUUUGCCGCUGCUGCCCCUAAGCUCUGGAAUGAGUUGCCCUUGAAAAUUAGACAGGCCUCCUCAUUUUCUGUUUUUAAAUCCCUUUUAAAAACGUACUUUUACUCAUUGGCUUUUAGUACAUUGUAGUGUUAAUUUGUUUUUUAUCAUCUUAGCACUUGCCGUGAGCCUCCUUAUUUAUACACUUAUUUAUUCUUUUGCAUUACUGUAUUUCUGCUUGCUUUAUCUGGUUCUUUGAUUGUUUUAUUUGUUUUUAUGUGUCACUGUACAGCACUUUGGCUACCCUUGUGGUUCUUUUAAAUGUGCUAUAGAAAUAAAGUUGAUUGAUUGAUUGAUUUUUUUUUUUUUUUGGUUUUCUUUCUUUAUUUUUUUUUUUGAGAUCUCUUUUUGAAGAGUUUUUUUUUUUUUUUAAAGUACUUCCUUACUUCGAGGAAGUUACUUCUUCUUCCACUUCUCAGGCUUUCUUAACCCCAAGAAGUGUCUUGUUUGUUUCCAGACUGAAGAAGGUGGUUUGGUGGCAUUAGAGGUUGGUGUCUCUGCUGGUCCUGCUGUUCCAACUAGUUCUGGAGAUCCAGCAGUCACUUCGAUUUCUAAAGCUCCUGCCAGUUCUUCAGCUCCAGAAGUUUCUGCAGUUUUCUCCAACUCCAUGCAAAACUGCUCGAUGUCCAUGUCCAUGAAGUCCUGCUCCUGAAGCGUCAUCUCACUUUGCCUGAUGCCUGUCUCUCGAAGUUGAAGCUCAGUUGAGAGUUCAUUUGUUUUUUUGUUGUUUUCAUUGUUAAAGCUGGUUUCUUGGGCCACUUUAAGCUCCUUGUUGUCCAUCAUACCGGCUGUCUGGAUGUAGAGCUGUUGUUUCAGCUCCUCCAGCUCAGCCCAGUGCCUCCUCUCUGUUUCAAAAGCUGCCUGCUGCAGAACAGCAAUCUUCUCCGUCAUGGAGUCCUGUUCGGCUCUCAGGAUCUGGAUGGUCUGUUCCUGUAAGAGUCCAUCAUGGUGAGCCUGAUUUUGCAGCUCACGCUGAAGGGUCUCAACUUCCUGUUUCGCAGCAGUGAGAUCAGUUGCAUACUGGAAUUUCAGUGCUUGGUAUGAGGUUCUUGUCUUCUCCUGUUCUUCAUGGAGGACCGUGUUUCUUUCAGUCAGUUCCUGGACUUGUGUUGUGAGCCUCUCAUUUUCCACAAUAUGUGCCACCUUCAGCUCCUCGUAAUCGACAUGAAGAUCCUUCUUCUUCUUCUGCCGGCUCGUGUCCCUCACCUUAAGAGCAAUUCUGUGUUUGGAGAGGGUCUCCUCUGA